rnacentral:tRNA from 1 species
GAGAUGUUAGUUUAAGUGGUAAAAUAGUUGGUUUGAGCCCAAUCAAUGGGCUUUAAGCCCACAUCUUU